GGUCGGAUUAUGGACCAGGAUGAUGGAGCCAGUGUCUAGGGGCCUUGAACUGAGAGAACCGCUAAGACCCAACAACACCCAAACCAGCUACAGCAGAUGUAAAACUGGAGGUCAUGAUUGGUCUCCAGAGCAACUUCUUUAGGAAGGAAUGAUCACAUCAAUUAACCACAGGUGGAUGAUUUGCUAACAGAAUUGGAGAAAUGUAU